ACAAAAAACUAGUCUUUCAGUAAUCUUGAUUGUAUGCUUUCUUUUCUUAUGUUCCACUUCACAAUAUUUUCUCAGUUGGCACUUAUUGCAACAUGCUUGAGCUGCAAAUUUUAUCGCAGAAAACGAGCUACACUCCAAUAUUAACAAUAUUUCCUUGUUUGUUUUUGCAGCAAACGAGCUACGCUGACAUGCGGGAUCUAGCAGUACAGCACAUUCGAACCCUUCAAGAUCAGGUUCAGAAUCUGAAUACAGAACUUGAAAACUGCAAAUGUGGAUGUAAGAAAUCAAGUCAAUAACAAAAUGGGAGGAAGCACUUUAGCUGAAGAUUGACUUAAAAGGAUUUUUGUCACCAUUAUUUUGCCUCUUAGAAACUCAAAUUUGUACAUAAGGAAGUAAAUUUCAUACUAGUUUUUUAAAGCUAAAAAGUAAACUCUCUUUGUUUUUUUUUUUCCUUUUCCAGUUUGAAGACUACGUAUAUGAUUGUUUUGGAUUAUUCUAGUUUUUUUUUCCAUCUAACAUUUACAUUUUUAAUUUAGUUUUGAGUUUAUUUUGGUUGAAGAUCAUAAAGCUAAUUGAUGAUGUUGUACAA